rnacentral:rRNA from 1 species
AACGAACGCUGGCGGCAUGCCUAACACAUGCAAGUCGAACGAGACCUUCGGGUCUAGUGGCGCACGGGUGCGUAACGCGUGGGAAUCUGCCCCUUGGUUCGGAAUAACAGUUAGAAAUGACUGCUAAUACCGGAUGAUGACUUCGGUCCAAAGAUUUAUCGCCAAGGGAUGAGCCCGCGUAGGAUUAGGUAGUUGGUGGGGUAAAGGCUCACCAAGCCGACGAUCCUUAGCUGGUCUGAGAGGAUGAUCAGCCACACUGGGACUGAGACACGGCCCAGACUCCUACGGGAGGCAGCAGUGGGGAAUAUUGGACAAUGGGCGAAAGCCUGAUCCAGCAAUGCCGCGUGAGUGAUGAAGGCCUUAGGGUUGUAAAGCUCUUUUACCAGGGAUGAUAAUGACAGUACCUGGAGAAUAAGCUCCGGCUAACUCCGUGCCAGCCGCCGCCGUAA